CGUCCGCGUGCUUUUCAGCGGCUGUUCACGAGGUUUCGUCAAUUACUCAAUUAAUCGCGAGCGUAUACGAUACAUGUCGUAGUUGAGAAAUCAUUCUAAAUCGGAAUCGCAGCCGGGAAACAUACAGAGAAACAUAUGUAUAUAUAUUACGGGCGACGGUCGCGGUGUGAAAAAAGCGAUCAACGUGCGCAUAAUUCACAACUCCACUGCUGCGCAUCGUGUCGAUUUGAAAAGCCUCCGCGGAUUCCUCACGCCUGAGAACCGCUGGCCACAAGAUUGCUGCGACAUAUGCUGGAAAUUUGUUCGGCGGGAAUUUACGAGCGAGUUUCCGUGUCAGAGCCAAUACCUGGGCUCUGUUAGUAAGUAGAUAUAAGUCUGUAUAUCCCCUGGCGGCCAUAAACUCGCAUUCGAGGACCAUCGAACAGAAUAAUCGAGAAUGUCGUUAGUUAGCGCGUUCAGGAAUUUUAACGGCUCGUUCGGGAAGCGCGCGCGUGGAAAAACGCAAUCCGUCAUGCGCGUCACUGUCACCGUUCGAAGUAUGGUAUGCCGAGUCCGAGUGGCGGCCACUUCGCAGAUCGCAAGAGUGUAUCGAACUGUCGCGCAAAUCGGUCGGAUGUUGAAAACAAAUUAUUAAAUUAACACCGCGAGAUUAUAUAUUUUAAUAUUUAUUACGUCGUUACGAAAAUUAUUGUUGCAUGCGGAUUUUGAUGUGUCAAAUGAAAAUAUAGAG